rnacentral:rRNA from 1 species
GAUGAACGCUGGCGGCGUGCCUAAUACAUGCAAGUCGAACGCUUCUUUUUCCACCGGAGCUUGCUCCACCGGAAAAAGAGGAGUGGCGAACGGGUGAGUAACACGUGGGUAACCUGCCCAUCAGAAGGGGAUAACACUUGGAAACAGGUGCUAAUACCGUAUAACAAUCGAAACCGCAUGGUUCUGAUUUGAAAGGCGCUGUCGGGUGUCGCUGAUGGAUGGACCCGCGGUGCAUUAGCUAGUUGGUGAGGUAACGGCUCACCAAGGCCACGAUGCAUAGCCGACCUGAGAGGGUGAUCGGCCACAUUGGGACUGAGACACGGCCCAAACUCCUACGGGAGGCAGCAGUAGGGAAUCUUCGGCAAUGGACGAAAGUCUGACCGAGCAACGCCGCGUGAGUGAAGAAGGUUUUCGGAUCGUAAAACUCUGUUGUUAGAGAAGAACAAGGAUGAGAGUAACUGCUCGUCCCUUGACGGUAUCUAACCAGAAAGCCAUGGCUAACUACGUGCCAGCAGCCGCCGUAA